AGGGAUGUACCCGUGGGAGGAGGACCACAAACCAACAGCGUCACAUAUGCAACUGUGAGAAUUGUUCCACGGCCGAUGCCUCCAGCGGAUGCUGGUAUCAUCUAUGCCAAUCUCGCCUUAGGAAACAGGAAUGAGCAGGACGGUGAAGCCAGUGAUGGAGAUGGUCCUGUCUACGCCACAGUCAGAGUUUAGUGUGGAGGCCAAUGACCACGACUUGCUUUAUUUCCUCGCUCUAUCAGCUCACCAUCCACUAUAUUCAAUUUCACCUUCAUUCUGACAUCAACGGGGCUCUUACAUCACAUCUCACGCUAACCCACAUAGAGACUGAGUUACAGACUGAGGAAUAAGGAGCGAGGGAGUGAAUGCGUAAGAGUGAGAGAGUUUGUGAGAGAGAAAGAUAAAGGGAGACCGAAUGAGAGACA